rnacentral:tRNA from 1 species
UUGGGGAUUUAGCUCAGUGGUAGAGCGCUUGCCUAGCAAGCACAAGGCCCUGGGUUCAGUCCCCAGCUCUGAA